AUUGAACGCUGGCGGCAGGCCUAACACAUGCAAGUCGAGCGGAUGAAGGGAGCUUGCUCCUGGAUUCAGCGUCGGACGGGUGUGUAAUGCCUAGGAAUCUGCCUGGUAGUGGGGGAUAACGUCCGGAAACGGGCGCUAAUACCGCAUACGUCCUGAGGUAGAAAGUUGGGGAUCUUCGGACCUCACGCUAUCAGAUGAGCCUAGGUCGGGUUAGCUAGUUGUUGGGGUAAAGGCCUACCAAGGCGACGAUCCGUAACUGGUCUUAGAGGAUGAUCAGUCACACUGGAACUGAGACACGGUACAGACUCAUAGGGGAGGAAGCAGUGGGGAAUAAUGGACAAGGGGCGAAAGGCUGAUACAGCCAUGCCGCGUGUGAAGAAGGACUUCGGAUUGUAAAGCACUUUAAGUUGGGAGGAAGGGAAGUAAGUUAAUACCUUGCUGUUUUGACGGUAACAACAGAAUAAGCACCGGCUAACUUCGUG
rnacentral:rRNA from 1 species